GCAAGUCGAACGGCAGCGCGGGCUUCUGCCUGGCGGCUAAUGGCUAACGGAUGAGUAAUUCAUCGGAACGUGCACAGUAGUGGGGGAUAGCUCGGCGAAAGCCGGAUUAAUACCGCAUACGACCUGAGGGUGAAAGCGGGGGAUCUUCGGACCUCGCGCUAUUGGAGCGGCCGAUGGCAGAUUAGCUAGUUGGUGGGGUAAAGGCCUACCAAGGCGACGAUCUGUAGCUGGUCUGAGAGGACGACC
rnacentral:rRNA from 1 species